UGGCUUUGAUCCUAUUCUUCUUUUCUCCAUCUCUUCUAAGUAUAUCUUUUCUCUCAUUGGGCUUCAAAGCAGGCCUAUAAGAGCUGUGAUAAGCAUCAUGUGGGCUUAUUAUCUCUGCAGUGCCAAUAGAAACUAUUAUUGAAAAAAAAGACAUUCAUAAGAAUAUAAAACCCAUAAAAGUCAAAUUCUUUUUUUCUGUAAGGAGAUAAACCCCAAAACACAUGCUGACCAAUCUGUAGUUCAGUUUAGUAUAAAUAUAUUAUUAUUAUUAUUAUUAUUAUUAUACGUUAAUCAUACAUAUAUCUGGGACCACAGUUUAGACUAAACUAGUCACUCCAACUAUAAGUCACUAAUUUGCUCAAACAAGUUAAAAAAUAAAAAAUAAACCUAAUAUUGUCUUGCUAACAGAAAACUAAACAGAGAAGUCUUUCCUUCGCACUUACAUAUCCACAUGUCUACUUAUCAUCAUAGACAUACAUAUACAAAGCAAUGGUUUGAUUGGUAGAUUAAGAAAUGUAUUGAAAUUAAAUUGAACCUGGAUAAAAAGCAACGUGGUUGGAAGCAAUGGGCCUACUUGUUGCACAAACCCAGCUCACUAUUUGUAUCAUCACCACUGUAACCAUACAC
rnacentral:lncRNA from 1 species